GGGUUCUGAAGCGGGCAAGUUCUCUAGGUUCCUCAGUAUAUUUAGGAGGGAGAAUCAUACACAUGCAGAGACCAGACCAAGGCAGAAGGAGGCCAGCCUUCUAUCACGUUGGAGAACAAGACAAGGAAAUGGUCCUGGGGAAGACCCAGUGAAUACUGGGCAGGGCUAGAGAACCUUCCUGGAGAAGAGUUUGCUCAGAAGGCAUCAUCUCAACCGUCCACCAACCAUGUUGAGGAGGAGAGAAUGAAGCAUUUGGAGGACCUGAAAAUUGUUCUCCAGAAGAUGCCAAACGAGAGAGAUGAACGCCAGAGAAUACUGGCAUAUUACCCUAGAAACAAUUUAAAUGACAGCCUGAGGUACUCCAUCCUACGAAGUGAGUCUAUUCGGCUGAAGCACAAUGCCAAGAGAGCACAGAAUGAGAACAGGGAGUUUCUAUGGAACAAAUUGCACUGGAACAGUCCAUUAAGGAAACAGCGAGGUUCCGUGUGGAAGCCAGUAUGAAAAACCACGUAACAAGCAGCAUCAGGUCUGCAACACUCCAGCAGAAACUUGCACAGGGCCCAGACCAGGACUACAGCUCUCAGAGACAGAACUGUCCACCAGGAACACUGAGGGUGCAAAGACUGACAACACCUCCCGCAUCUCAGUUCUCAUAACCAUAACACUCUUGGGCUGCAUUUGAAAGACCUUGAGAUAUCAUAUGGAACAUGCCUAAUGUUUAACCUUUUGAGAACUUGUCCAUCAACAACCACCACCCCGAAUGAGGCAUGUCUACAUUCAUCUUGAAGAGAUUUUUACCAUUUUGCCUGCCAUUCUGCUAUGCUUGCAAGGCCAGCAACAGGCUGGAGAGGGACAAUCAUAUACGUGCAGAGACCAGACCAAGGCAGAAGGAGGCCAGACUUCUAUCAUGUUGGAGAAUAAGACGAAUGGAAUGAUCCUGGAGAAGGUGAAGUUCAGAGACAGAAGAUAAAAUAUCGAUUGGAUUUGUCUAUAUGGAAUUUCUAUAAUAAUUCCAAAGUCUUUAUCGUUUUAGAAAAGAUGAUCCAUCCAGUCAGUGGGAUGAAGAGCCGUGUCCCAGAGCCCCAUCAGUAGUGCUGAAGAGGACUCUGGUUUCUCCAUGUCUACCUGUACACACAGUCAUGAGGACCAGACUUCUAGUCAAUCAGUCUCUCGGGCUUAAACUAUAGAUCGAUCUCUUUCUUAGCACUCUCCACUGAAUCACUGCCAUGAAUGAUGUUCUUGCCAACCAGAAUGCAGAAAUCCCCACAAAUGGUGCCUGGUUUCGAAACAGCUGGAUCGGUUUGCCCCCGCAUCACCUGUUUUCACCACAUUGAGCCCCUCCCACACCACUGCCGCUAUAGGCCCUGAGUUCAUGUACUUCUCUAGCCUAGAGAAGAAAGGACGGUUUUCAGGCCAGUGUACUGCUGCUUCAGGUGUUCUUCAGAAGCCCGAAGGAAGUUCAUGGCGGCCAGGCAGAACCCCUCCUUCUGGAAUCCUUUGAUGAUCUCGCUCAUCAGGUGGCGCUGCACCCCAUCUGGCUUGAUGGCAAGGAAGAUAAGCUCGAAGUUGGUCACAGUCCGAAAGCUGGCGCCAUGACAACCCUGGAUGACAAGUUGCUGGGGGAGAAAUUGCAGUACUACUACAGCACCAGUGAGGAUGAGGACAGUGACCAUGAAGACAAAGACAGAGGCAGGGGAGCCCCAGCCAGUAGUUCCACGCCUGCGGAGGCUGAGCUGGCAGGCGAAGGCAUUUCAGUCAAUACAGGUCCAAAAGGGGUGAUCAAUGACUGGCGCCGCUUCAAGCAGUUGGAGACAGAGCAGAGGGAGGAGCAGUGCCGGGAGAUGGAGCGGCUGAUCAAAAGCUGUCUAUGAGCUGCCGGUCCCAUCUGGAUGAAGAGGAGGAGCAGCAGAAACAGAAGGACCUCCAGGAGAAAAUCAGUGGGAAGAUGACUCUGAAGGAGUGUGGUAUGAUGGACAAGAAUUUGGAUGAUGAAGAGUUUCUGCAGCAGUAUCGGAAGCAGAGGAUGGAAGAAUUACGGCAGCAGUUUCAUAAAGGGCCUCAAUUCAAGCAAGUGCUUGAGAUCCCCAGUGGAGAAGGAUUUUUACAUAUGAUUGAUAAAGAACAGAAAAGCACCCUUAUCAUGGUUCAUAUUUAUGAAGAUGGUGUCCCAGGGACUGAAGCCAUGAAUGGCUGCAUGAUCUGCCUUGCCGCAGAGUACCCCACUGUCAAAUUCUGCCGAGUGAGGAGCUUGGUUAUUGGGGCCAGCAAUCGUUUUACCCGGAAUGCCCUUCCUGCUCUGCUCAUCUACAAGGCGGGUGAAUUGAUUGGCAAUUUUGUUCGUGUCACUGACCAGCUGGGCGAAGAUUUCUUUGCUGUAGACCUUGAAGCUUUCCUGCAGGAAUUUGGAUUGCUCCCAGAAAAGGUCUUGGUGCUGACAUCUGUGCGAAACUCUGCCACCUGUCACAGUGAAGACAGCGAUCUAGAAAUAGAUUGAACUGAUAAUCUAGUUCUGUAGCUGUCUCAUUGUUUGGGCUAGAGGACACAUGUCUGUAUUUAUUUCUGUCCUUCCUGUCUUCUGGCUUUACAGCUGUUCUUUGUAGUCUGGUUUAGUAUGUGGAAAGUCAAGAAACUCAGAUUAAAUCAGAAUCCUGACUCACUUUGUGGCUAGCAGUAAAGCGAUUUCUAAUUAUAUAAACAGGAAGCUGGGUUCUUGAGCUGUUUACAUCUCUAGCGUGACAUCUCUGAAAUUGUUUCCAGUCAAUAUUGACAUGGCACCCUUGAAGGCAAUGUCUUGAAAAUUGUCUUCUGAUGACCUCAGAAUUCCACCAGGUCUGAGAGUAGAAUUCCCUAGUGAGUGUGUUCUGUGCAGUGUAAACAGUGCAUUUCCAUAAUCACUUGAUUGCAAAUCAUGUUUACUUGCAAUCAGACUCAUAGCUGUACUUAUUUUCUCCAGAUCCUUCUCUACCAGGGUCCAUACAAGGUUGGGAAUAUAGCUCAGUGGUGAACUCUUAACCUAGCAUACACAUAGCUCCAAAGUAUCUGAUUCCCACCCAGCACUGUCAAAACUAAAGGUUCCAGAUGGUGCCUGAUGCUGUAGUUAGCAGUGGUCUCUGCUGUGGGAGUCACUGGUCCAGUCCAGCAUAAUGAAGUAUGAACAGGAAGGGAUGUUUUCUUGCUGACUGCUGUCAUGAUGUUGGGAAGCAGGCAUCCUAUUGACUGACACUGGUGUGUAUAGAGCUUGAAAACCUCAGUAGGAGGACCUUUCUGUAUCCUGCUCAUCAGCAUCUGUUCUGUUAUUUAGCAAGGUAAUGCUUUGUUUAACCUCAACUUUUUAAAAAGCUUUUUUUGCCUAUUAGAAAAAAAUUCAUAUUUGCUAGAGGAAAAUUGGCCAAAAUACAGAUGCAAAAAUGGUUUAAAAAUAUAAUUCUGCCACCUGAAUACUGUAUGUUUUGGUACCAUUCAUAUAUAGGGUUUUUUUUUUUUAUGUAUUCAUAGGCUUUGGUUUGUCUUUAAAUGACAUUGGGAUCAUUCUGAGCAUACUGUCAGAUAGUGUGAUCAGUUCCUAACAUCAGAAGUUUUUCAUGCUAUUAAAAACUCUUCUGUAAUGUUUUAAUAGCUGUUGAUAUUCCAUUGAUUUGCUGAAAUCUGCUUGGUGUUUGGAUUUUAGAAAGAUAGCAAACUUUUUAUUAUAAAUUUUCUAUUUUAAAACAUGUUUAUCAUAGAACAUAUAAUAAAAAUUAAGUUAAAAAGAUAUUUAAAAGCCAUAAAAUUUUACUACUGAUAAUUACUGUCACCAUUUUUACAGAUCUCUUUCUAGCUUUAUGUGUAUGUGUGUAUUUAUAAAAGUCAUCAUCAUUCAAGUUUGAUUACUCUUUAUAUGUUUAGUAUCGGGAAAAGAAAUGAAUCUGGAAGUAAGUAUUAGCUUUAGUUCACAUGUGAGUUUUUUGGUUGCUCAGAAGCUAGCAGGAAAUGAAUCCUGUUGGAGUUAAUCAACAAAAACAGUAUCAUUUUCUGACUAAGGAGCUCAUUGUAGAAGUGAAGACAAUCAUAGGAGCAGAGACAACUGAUGUCAAUAUUCUAGUUUUUUUUCCAGUUUUUUUCCCCAUUCUUAAUAACAUUGAUAGUUACUGAAUUCUGUGUUCUACUUUACGUAACAGUACAUAUUAAAAUACUUUGGUAUAUUGUAAAAGUUCUGAAUAAAUCAGUUGCUUUAUAAUUCACCAUCUAAAUAAACUAUACCAUAUUGACUCA